CCUUGGCUCUGCUCAGAAGCAUGUCUGCAUUUGGGGAUUACAAAGGAAGGAGCAAACUGCUUUUUCUGAAUCCUGUCCUGCACUUCCACACCCUUGGCACAGCUUGCAUUCCGUGUUACUGUUUAAUGGACAUCGCUGAACUUGCCACUCUCUAUCCACAGCUUUUCCAGCCACUCAGUGCAGCCUACAAGUGUCCUAAAGGGACAGACAAGCCUGGAAAACUUCUUGGCUGGCAAUUUUCAAAGUGUUUUGUCCUUUUUCUCCAAAGAGAGGAUAAAGCCACAGUGAGAUGCAGACUUUACGACUUCCAAAUUGUUCUGACCAUGAAUACAGCAUACUGACUUCAAACUAGAGAGCAUAUGUCCAGGUGAGGCACGUCACCUCUGCAUGCAAGUCCUUCUCAUCUCCCCUGCUCUCUUUCAUCCCUAGUUCAAGGUGUGAAGCCUAACCUCAACACAAUGAAUGGAUCAUGGCCAGCAAGAGAAGACAGAACAAACCUCUGCCUCAGCUGAGGAGCUUCUCUGGAACAAUGGAGAUCAUAAAACACAUGACAAAGCUCUGUGCCUAGAGGAACUCAGGGUGAAAUCUGACCUUGGACAAAGAGCUGGAACAAAGACUGUCACCAUGAUGAUUAAGUGGGAUUGUUGCAUAAAUGUGAAGUUUAUCCUUUUUUAAGGGAAAUAUGAUCCACAAGCAUAGGCUGAAACAAAAAUAAAUGUUCAAAACCGUAACAGUGAUACGGAUACAAACUGUAUGCACUAUUAAAAUUAUUCGCAGAAAAGGAA